AGUAACACGUAGGUAAUCUACCUUUUGAUGGGGAAUAACUUAGGGAAACUUAAGCUAAUACCGCAUAAUGCAGCGGCAUCGCAAGAUGACAGUUGUUAAAGGAGCAAUCCGCUUAAAGAGGAGCCUGCGGCAGAUUAGGUAGUUGGUAAGGUAAUGGCUUACCAAGCCUACGAUCUAUAGCCGACCUGAGAGGGUGGUCGGUCACACUGACACUGAAUAACGGGUCAG
rnacentral:rRNA from 1 species